CUUCCAGCUUGAGGUAUUCCAUGAUUCCAUGAUUUCAUGACCUAUUUUGCUUAACAAUUUAGGUGACUUGAAGUUCCACCAUUACUACCUGAGGUUUUCUGGAGCUCUGCUGAUUCCCUUUGAUUUGCCUGCUCCUCCAUAUGUGACAACAGCCUGUGAAACAGCUAUUGUGACACCACGGAUGUAAAAACUCAACAAACUGGCUGGAAUACUGGAACUGGACUGAGAAAACCUCAGGACUUCAAAUGAUGCUUUUUCUCUUUUCUGGAACACAAGCCAGGCCUAGAAAAUCUGAAGAGCAAGGGAUUCUCUCUGUCCAGUGGAAGCUACCUAAAAGCUAAAAAAUACUUGCUUCAAGAAUUUCCUGUGAGUAUAAAAUGCAAUCCUUAAAAAACAUGUUUGGGCUCAUUGUGUAAGUAAUUUUCAUGUGUUAACUACAUUUAUUUGCUCUGUCUGACACAAAGAUUGGUUACCAGCUCUAUCUCCAAAUUAUUUUGGCACAAGUUGUGCAGCACCCUUACAGAAAAUACAGUCUGAACCAUAUUAUGAACUAAAAUAUUAGAAGACCUAACAAGUAAUUCCUUCUUAGCAAAUAAUAAAAUAGAAACAAAC
rnacentral:lncRNA from 1 species